ACAAUUAAUCGAUCCUCUCUGGGGGGAUGAGGAGUCGGAGGUCCUGGGUUUGAAACCCGACUCUGCCAUUUUACCCUUUGUGCGACCUGGGACCUGACGAUCCCGUACCUGCCCCAGCGCUCAGUACACGAUGCCUGGAACAAGGAGCGCAGCUAUUAUUAUGAUUAUUAUUAUCGCUGUUAUCACCUGCAUUGGGAGCUUUCCAAACACCCAAGUCACUCGACUCUGAACUACAAGUAUUUAGAAGGGACGAACUGUGCUGCUAAAAAUGAAGGUGAAAGGUUCACAGCCACUAACUGGCAAGUCUUCGGAAAUUAAAGUAAUGCUCUCAAAUCAAA